GACGAACGCUGGCGGCGUGCCUAACACAUGCAAGUCGAGCGGGGUCCAUCCAGUGGCAACACUGGGGUAGACCUAGCGGCGAACGGGUGAGUAACACGUGAGAAACCUGCCUGAAGUCUGGGAUAACCCGAGGAAACUCGAGCUAAUACCGGAUGCCCCCACCGAGUCGCAUGGCUUGGUGAGGAAAGAUUCAUCGCCUCAGGAGGGUCUCGCGGCCUAUCAGCUAGUUGGCGGGGUAACGGCCCACCAAGGCAUCGACGGGUAGCUGGUCUGAGAGGACGAUCAGCCACACUGGGACUGAGACACGGCCCAGACUCCUACGGGAGGCAGCAGUGGGGAAUCUUGCACAAUGCGCGAAAGCGUGAUGCAGC
rnacentral:rRNA from 1 species